rnacentral:rRNA from 1 species
UACGAAAGGUGCAAGCGUUAAUCGGAAUUACUGGGCGUAAAGCGUGCGCAGGCGGUGAUGUAAGUCAGAUGUGAAAUCCCCGGGCUCAACCUGGGAACUGCAUUUGUGACUGCAUCGCUGGAGUGCGGCAGAGGGGGAUGGAAUUCCGCGUGUAGCAGUGAAAUGCGUAGAUAUGCGGAGGAACACCGAUGGCGAAGGCAAUCCCCUGGGCCUGCACUGACGCUCAUGCACGAAAGCGUGGGGAGCAAACAGG